AGAGUUUGAUCAUGGCUCAGAAUCAACGCUGGCGGCGCGCUUAACACAUGCAAGUCGCACGAGAAAAGUGGAGCAAUCCAUGAGUAAAGUGGCGUACGGGUGAGUAACACGUGGAUCAUCUACCUCUUAGUGGGGAAUAACCCUGGGAAACCGGGGCUAAUACCGCAUAAGCCUGAGAAGGGAAAGCAGCAAUGCGCUGAGAGAGGAGUCCGCGGCCGAUUAGCUAGUUGGUAGGGUAAUGGCCUACCAAGGCAAUGAUCGGUAGCCGGCCUGAGAGGGCACACGGCCACACUGGCACUGAAACACGGGCCAGACUCCUACGGGAGGCAGCAGUGGGGAAUCUUGCACAAUGGAGGAAACUCUGAUGCAGCGACGCCGCGUGAGCGAUGAAGCCCUUCGGGGUGUAAAGCUCUUUCGACGGGAACGAUAAUGACGGUACCCGGAGAAGAAGCUGCGGCUAACUACGUGCCAGCAGCCGCGGUAAUACGUAGGCAGCAAGCGUUGUUCGGAAUUACUGGGCGUAAAGAGUGUGUAGGCGGUUCUCUAUGUUCGGUGUGAAAUCUCCCGGCUUAACUGGGAGGGUGCGCCGAAAACUGGAGGGCUUGAGUAUGGGAGAGGAAAGCGGAAUUCCUGGUGUAGCGGUGAAAUGCGUAGAUAUCAGGAGGAACACCUGCGGUGUAGACGGCUUUCUGGACCAUCACUGACGCUGAGACGCGAAAGCGUGGGUAGCAAACAGGAUUAGAUACCCUAGUAGUCC
rnacentral:rRNA from 1 species